UACAGAGGUCCCAAGCGUUGUUCGGAUUCACUGGGCGUAAAGGGUGCGUAGGUGGCCGGUGAAGUUCGGUGUGAAAGCUCGGAGCUCAACUCCGAAAUGGCAUUGAAAACUCAUCGGCUGGAGGGUCGGAGGGGAGACUGGAAUUCUCGGUGUAGCAGUGAAAUGCGUAGAUAUCGAGAGGAACACCAGUGGCGAAGGCGAGUCUCUGGACGACUCCUGACACUGAGGCACGAAAGCCAGGGGAGCAAACAGG
rnacentral:rRNA from 1 species